rnacentral:tRNA from 1 species
UCCCUUGUGGCUCAGCUGGUAAAGAAUCUGCCUGGAAUGCAGGAGACCUGGGUUCGAUCCCUGGGUUGGGAA